AUUGAACGCUGGCGGCAUGCCUAACACAUGCAAGUCGAACGGCAGCACGGUCUGGUUUACCAGAUGGGUGGCGAGUGGCGAACGGGUGAGUAAAGCGUAGGAAUAUACCUUAAAGAGGGGGAUAACCUGGGGAAACUCAGGCUAAUACCGCGUAAACUCUGCGGAGCAAAGCUGGGGACCGAAAGGCCUGGCGCUUUAAGAAUAGCCUGCGUCCGAUUAGCUAGUUGGUGGGGUAAAGGCUCACCAAGGCGACGAUCGGUAGCUGGUCUGAGAGGGUGGCCCCCCACAAUGGAACUGAAACACGGUCCAUACACCUACGGGUGGCAGCAGUAGGGAAUAUUGGUUAAUGGGCGAAAGCCUGAACCAGCAACGCCGCGUGUGCGAUGAAGGCCUUCGGGUCGUAAAGCACUUUUUGAAGGGAUGAGGAAGGACAGUACCUUCAGAAUAAGUCUCGGCUAACUACGUG
rnacentral:rRNA from 1 species